rnacentral:rRNA from 1 species
CCUGACUGCUAUCGGAUUGAUACUAAGCCAUGCGAGUCAUUGUAGCAAUACAAGGCAGACGGCUCAGUAACGCGUAGUCAAUCUACCCUAUGGACGGGAAUAACCUCGGGAAACUGAGAAUAAUGCCCGAUAGAACAUUAUGCCUGGAAUGGUUUAUGUUUCAAAUGAUUUAUCGCCAUAGGAUGGGACUGCGGCCUAUCAGUUUGUUGGUGAGGUAAUGGCCCACCAAGACUAUUACAGGUACGGGCUCUGAGAGGAGUAGCCCGGAGAUGGGUACUGAGACACGGACCCAGGCCCUAUGGGGCGCAGCAGGCGAGAAAACUUUGCAAUGUGCGAAAGCACGACAAGGUUAAUCCGAGUGGUUUCUGCUAAAGAAACCUUUUGUCAGUCCUAGAAACACUAACGAAUAAGGGGUGGGCAAGUUCUGGUGUCAGCCGCCGCGGUAACACCAGCACCUCAAGUGGUCAGGAUGAUUAUUGGGCCUAAAGCAUCCGUAGCUCGUUUUGUAAGUUUUCGGUUAAAUCCAUGCGCUUAACGUAUGGGCUGCCGGGAAUACUGCAUAACUAGGAAGUGGGAGAGGUAGACGGUACUCGGGAGGAAGGGGUAAAAUCCUUUGAUCUCUUGAUGACCACCUGUGGCGAAGGCGGUCUACCAGAACACGUUCGACGGUGAGGGAUGAAAGCUGGGGGAGCAAACCGGAUUAGAUACCCGGGUAGUCCCAGCUGUAAACUAUGCAAACUCAGUGAUGCAUUGGCUUAUGGCCAAUGCAGUGCUGCAGGGAAGCCGUUAAGUUUGCCGCCAGGGAAGUACGUACGCAAGUAUGAAACUUAAAGGAAUUGGCGGGGGAGCACCACAAGGGGUGAAGCCUGCGGUUCAAUUGGA